AUGGACCUAAUACUUCCGUUUAAAGUUGGAGAUGCCGUAGAGACAAGAUCCUAUAAUGUUGGUUAUAGGGGUGCAUGGUUCCGUUGCAAGAUCACCGAUAUGUGUAUCAGGAGCGGUCACAUGGAGUGUCAGGUGGAGUGUAUAGACUAUCCAGAUGAAAGAAGGAAAUGGAAUAGACUCUUCAAAAUUCCCCCCAAAUGCCGUAAUCAGAAAGCAAGUCAGAAUAGGGAGAUCAUGCUACGACCUCCUUUUCCUCGGUGGUGUUGGGAGAAUGAUAUUGCUGAGCUUGGGCCACAAACGGAUGUUGUAGCAGUUGUAAGCAGUCCUUGGAAAGUAGGUGACUUGAUUGAUUGGUGGUACACUGAUUGUUUUUGGACUGGGAAAAUUACCGAGUUGAUGAGUGAUGACAAAGUUAAGAUAAUUUGUCCUGAAAUACCAUUAGGUGAAGGUGGAUGUUGGGUUGCCGAUCCCAAAGACCUGAGGCCAGCGCUUGAUUGGUCCCUCGAAAAAGGUUGGAGUGCCCCUCUUUCACAGGAAAACGGCGAAUGCUGGCAUACUGCUCGUUUGAUUGCAGGGAACCAAGAUACAUUAAGUAGCAGCUCUGAUGAGGAGGACAUUGAGCAAUCUUGUGAUGGUAACAAGGUACUACAAAGAUGCUUGAAUGGAUCAUUUGAUUCAUUGGAGCAAGAAAUAGGAAAAUGCCUGAAUGGAGCAUCUGAUACACCAAAGGAGUUGGUCGAUCAAGAUGUAAAACAGCCAGCCAAUACAAAUGGCAGGUGCUGCCUGGAAAGUCAAACAGACAGUGAAGGGGAACCACAAAAAUGCAUGAAUGAAGAGCCUGGCGUGUCUCUGGAGGCCAUCUGUUCAAAAGUGCAACUCGCUCCCAAUGAAACUGGUGAAUGUUGCAUGAACAGCCAAGCAGACUGUCCGACGUCUCCUGUGGCCAAUUCAGGACAGUCUCCUCAGUUCAUUACCAAUGAGCAAUCAAGUACCCCCAAUUUCAAGAAACUCAAGACCUCAAGUGAGCCUGACGCUUCUCUCGAGGUCACCAAUACAAAAGUGCAACUCGCACCCAAUGAAAAUGGUGAAUGUUGCAUGAACAGCCAAGCAGACUGUCCGACGUCUCCUGUGGCCAAUUCAGGACAGUCUCCUCAGUUCCUUACCGAUGAGCAAUCAAGUCCCCCCAGUUUUAAGAAACUCAAGACCUCAAGUGAGCAUGCAUCAGUUAAGCCUACUGGCACCGUUAGCGAGGCCACGAUGAAACUGCGGGAACUAGUAAACAAAGUCAAGACCUCAAGUGAGCAUGUAUCAGUUAAGCCUACUGGCACCGUGAGCGAGGCCACGAUGAAACUGCAGGAACUAGUAAACAAAAUCAGACGGGCCCAAGCUCUCCUGCAGUCUGUUGACUAUGCUCCAUCAAGCAUAGUGCUGGCACCUUGGAAAUUUCAGGAAAAUAACCCAUGGCAGAAGCGUAACUGA
rnacentral:rRNA from 1 species